rnacentral:lncRNA from 1 species
GGCCGGCUCCUGAUCCGAGGGGGGCCCCCACGCCUGCUCCGGCCCCUCGGGUCAGCCCUCCCCUCCCCUCCCCUGCCCUCCCCCUGCCUGCGUGUGUCUUUGAGCCGGGUUGUGUGCAUUUGUGAGCCUGCACACCCCAGGGACCCUCCCCUCUCCUUCCACCCUGACCUCUACCUUGCGCUGACCCCGGCUGGGGGUGCAGGAGCGUCCUGCAGACACAGCCCAGGGCAGGGAGGGGCUCAAGGUGUGCGGGCUGCGAGGUCGCUUCUCCUUAACUCUGCAUCGCCCUCACUCCUGCGUCUCUCUGUCUCUCCUCUCUCUCUCUCUUUCUCUCUCUCUCUCUCCUCUCUCUCCCUCCCUGCUAAGUCUGCGCUGCUGCAGGAGGGCUGGGGGAAGGGCAGGGGUGCGGAGAGGGGGUGCCUGGUGUCUUCUUUCUCUCUGCCUCCCCCCCCACCAAGUGCGGACGCAUCAGGAGCUCUGGCCUCCCCCACCCCUGCAUUCGCGAUUGGCUCCCGGAGAAGGUGGAUGGCGCUGCCGCGGCUGCAGCAUCUCCCUGGGAGCCGCACAGGGCGCAUCGUACCCGGGAGCCGCGACCCUGCGCCCGCCGCCACUGUCGCCAGCCUGGCUGGAGGGGCUCCCCGGGAGGUUCCAGGAAUAGAGGCCAAUAUUCCAGGAGCAGCCACACCUCGCCCCGGUUUCCGGGAAUGGAGGCUCACGUGGAGACAGCCUAGAGCCCCGAGGACAUCACCAGGGACGCCCAGGACCAGACUGAAUGGGCACAAGCCCCACUUGGAAGGAACGGCAUUUCAUAAAUAGCUGUGGGCACGUGGGCGUGCUCCCAUGAGCCCCAGCACCUCCUCCCCAGGCUGUGCCUCUCCUCCGCUCCUCCCCUCCCACCCCACAGGAAGAGGCCGGCCCCUGCAGCUCCUCUGUGGUCCCAGGGGUAGCAGCCUGCUGUCACACUUGGGUCAUUUCUCCCUUGCCCAACUUAUCUCAGGAUUCAAACACACACACAGUUAACUUUUGUAGACUUCUUUUAAGAUAAAUUCACUUUAUGGAAACUAAAUAGAAAAUAAAUUGUGGAAUGGUAUUGUGAUCA